GCGCGGGUAGCUCAGUGACAGAGCGCUUGGAUCACAUCCAAGAGGUCGGAGGUUUAAGUCCUUCCCUGCGCACCA
rnacentral:tRNA from 1 species